rnacentral:rRNA from 1 species
AGAGUUUGAUCCUGGCUCAGGAUGAACGCUGGCGGCGUGCUUAACACAUGCAAGUCGAACGAAGCACUUUUGCCGAUUUUCUUCGGAACUGAAGUAAUAGUGACUGAGUGGCGGACGGGUGAGUAACGCGUGGAUAACCUGCCUCACACAGGGGGAUAACAGUUAGAAAUGACUGCUAAUACCGCAUAAGCGCACAGUGCCGCAUGGUACAGUGUGAAAAACUCCGGUGGUGUGAGAUGGAUCCGCGUCUGAUUAGCCAGUUGGCGGGGUAACGGCCCACCAAAGCGACGAUCAGUAGCCGGCCUGAGAGGGCGACCGGCCACAUUGGGACUGAGACACGGCCCAGACUCCUACGGGAGGCAGCAGUGGGGAAUAUUGCACAAUGGGGGAAACCCUGAUGCAGCGACGCCGCGUGAGCGAAGAAGUAUUUCGGUAUGUAAAGCUCUAUCAGCAGGGAAGAAAAUGACGGUACCUGACUAAGAAGCUCCGGCUAAAUACGUGCCAGCAGCCGCGGU